GAUGAAGAACGCAGCGAAAUGCGAUACGUAAUGUGAAUUGCAGAAUUCAGUGAAUCAUCGAAUCUUUGAACGCACAUUGCACUCCUUGGUAUUCCGAGGAGUAUGCCUGUUUCAGUAUCAUGAGCACUCUCACAUCUAACCUUUGGGUUAAAAUGUGGAAUUGGGAUGCGCCGGUUAUUAUAACGGCCCUCCUAAAAUUCAGUUCUUGGCUGGUUCCUACUACAGCAGUUUGGCCUAAUAGUUUUGAGUCUUCGAUUCAAAUCUUUGGCUAACAUUUGCUUCAGGAUGUCAGUCUUGAUAUACAGAAAUCUCAUUCAAACUUUGAUCUGAAAUCAGGUAGGGCUACCCGCUGAACUUAAGCAUAUCAAUAAGCGGAGGA
rnacentral:misc_RNA from 1 species